ensembl:piRNA 21ur-8947 ncRNA
UUUAUGCAGUUCUCUAACCGA